GUACCUAGCGGCGUGCCUAUCAUGCAAGUCGAGCGAGCGGACGAGAAGCUUGCUUCUCUGAUGUUAGCGGCGGACGGGUGAGUAACACGUGGAUAACCUACCUAUAAGACUGGGAUAACUUCGGGAAACCGGAGCUAAUACCGGAUAAUAUUUUGAACCGCAUGGUUCAAAAGUGAAAGACGGUCUUGCUGUCACUUAUAGAUGGAUCCGCGCUGCACUAGCUAGUUGGUAAGGUAACGGCUUACCAAGGCAACGAUGCAUAGCCGACCUGAGAGGGUGAUCGGCCACACUGGAACUGAGGCACGGUCCAGACUCCUACGGGAGGCAGCAGUAGGGAAUCUUCCGCAAUGGGCGAAAGCCUGACGGAGCAACGCCGCGUGAGUGAUGAAGGUCUUCGGAUCGUAAAACUCUGUUAUUAGGGAAGAACAUAUGUGUAAGUAACUGUGCACAUCUUGACGGUACCUAAUCAGAAAGCCACGGCUAACUACGUGCCAGCAGCCGCGGUAAU
rnacentral:rRNA from 1 species